AGCACGUUCGCAGUACGUCACACUGCCAGUACACCGCCAAUACAUACAAACUGAUAUUCUGAGCUUGUAGAGUGUGUAGGGAUGGAUGUAGAGUGUCUAGGGAUGCUUAGAACAGUGCCAGUCAGUCACUAUAUGGCACUGCUCACAUGCUACAUGCUGUUUGUGUAACAGGAUUUACCCUCUACUUUUAUAUUUAACAGUGACAAUUUAUUGUUUCAGGUGACAAAGUGUGGAAUGGACGCAAACACUAAUCUUCUGGAGUCAGGUGGUACCUCUGGAGAUGUUACCCAGUGCACCCAACAUUCACAGCAUAAAUCUGCUUCCCACAUCCAGAUAUUGAGGCAGAACUGAAACCAUCUACAGAGCAAGCCCAGGAAACCUCAUCUGAGCAAGCAACAGAACCACCCAGUACCACAUCUGUUCCCAAAGGUGUAAAGGUGGUAAAGAAAAGAAAUGGGAGUCCAGUGAAGUGAAAGCGGUUGAAAAACAUCUGAGCAGGUUCAUCAAAACUUGCACAGUUGUGAGGCCUGUGUAAAAGCUGAGCCUGUUGCACUGAAAGGCAGGGAUUGGUUAUCUGUUAAGUUAUUUGUAAAGAAUAGAAUCACUGCUCUUAAAAGGAAAAUGUAACCCAGAAACAGUGUGAAUGGUUUCAUUUCGUUUUAUUUGCACAGAUCAAUGGUAGUUUUAGUUUAUUAUUAUUAUUAUUAUUAUUAUUAUUAUUAUUA